AAAAAAAAAAAAAAAAAAAAAAAAAAAAAAAAAGUUGCCGUGGAGGUCCCUUGUGGCUCAGCAGUUUAAGGAUCCAGUGUUGUCACUGCUAUGGCUCUGGUUAUAGCUAUGGCAAGCAUUUGAGCGCUAGCCCAGGAAGUUUCCCAUGCUGUGGGUACAGCCCCCUCCCCACCCAAAAAAAGAGUUGCCAUACCAAUAUUUUAGUGCCAAAUGGAAGCUUCAUACACAUUUGUUUUUCUACUAAAAAUUGUAUUAUUACCAUACUGGAUUCUUUACAUGUAUAAAAACAUUUCCUACUAUGGAAGAAAUUUGGAGAUAUCAUUACUAGUUUUUUUUUUUUUUUUUUUUUUUUUUUUUAAGGGUCACAACCACAGCAUAUGGAAGUUCCCAGCUAGGGGUUGAAUGGGAGCUGUAGCUGCUGGCCUAUGCCACAGCCACAGCAACGCCAGACCCAAGCUGCGUCUGCAACCUACAUUGCAGCUUGCUGCAACGCCGUAUCCUUAACCCACUGAAUGAGGCUAGGCAUCGAACCCACAUCCUCAUGGACACUAUGUCGGGUUCUUAACCUACUGAACCACAAUGGGCACUUCUACUAGUUUCAUUUUUUUCCAACCAAAUAAAAGCUGCUGGUCUUUCAGCAUCUACUGUGUGCAAAACACACUGCUAUAGAUGCCACACACAUAUACUUGCUAUCUUGGCAACAGUCCUGCAGUGACAGAGAUUGCUGGUAGCCCUCCCAUCACAAAGUGCAGUCACCAUGCCGGUGAAAGUGGCCAUGCAAUGUAGUUGGCCAAUCAGAUCUAAAAGGAAGUUACUAGGAUGGUUCAAGAAAAUCUCUUUUUUAAGGAAACCCAGCUCAGCUGACACGCUUUCUUCUACCCAUCACUUCUACCAAAGCAAACCUACAAUAUAUGAGGUGAAAUAGCUCAUUACCAGUUGACAAGCGCACAUUAAGAUUGGCUGAACAAAAAACCAAGAGAGAGCCUCAUGUUCUUAAUGACAUCAUAAAACUUAAGAGUGGACAAAUGAGGGAGGCCUGCCUUGGACUGCCUACCACUGACAUAGGUGGUAAAAAUAACCCUUGUUUUUCAGGUUUCUUAUUCACGGAUGAAUGCAACUCUCAACUGACUCACCUGCAAAGAGAAUGUUGAGCUUUCAGUAUCUAAGAGGAGGCAACCCAGCUGGUAGAAAAUAGGAUAAUCAUUUGAUACAUAGGUUUCAGAAUCAUUAAUGAUCUGAUUUAAAAGUGCUUAGAGAAUUUUGGAUUUUAAAUGUUAUAUACUGUGGGGAAGGUACAUGUUAGGGGCUAUUGAAACAUUUCCCUUGAUUUUAUUAUAUUUCUACCUUGGGCAAGUGUCUUUAAUCCUGGUCCUCCGUUUAUUUUUCUUUAAUAUAAGAGAAUCAUAUUAGAUUAUUUCUAAGAUUCUUUGCAUUGAGAACUAUUAGAAUGCUGUACAUACUGGCCUGUAAUGAGACAACAACAACUUGGCCCUCCAAUGCAUAAUUCUUGGCAAUAUUAUGAAUACUUGUGAGCCAUAAAUGUUUGCAGUACAGAAUGUAAUACACAGGAGUCACAUUUUACCUACGAGAGAAAUAGUCUAAACAGACAUGUAGUGUUAUACUCUGUAGUAAGGUUUAACAGAAAAGUUAAAGAAAUGAAAUCACUAAAAGAAUGUGGACUCAGCCUUGAAUUUUACUUUUCUAUACAGAGUAUGCUUUUUUAGAAGAAAAAUGAACAAAAGUGCUAUUCAAGUACAAUACAGAGUAUAGUAAAAGCUCUCUUAUCCAACACUGAUAGAUGACUGGUGGAUUGAAAAAGUCAAUUAAAGCAGAGAAAUUUUUAAAAUGAUGCUACAUGCCUUAAAGUUAAAAUAAGUUGAAAUACAAUUGUACCGUUGACCCCUGAACAUUAGGGGUUUGAACUGUACAGACCCACUUACAUGCACAUUUUUUUCAAUAGUAAGUACUGCUAUACUCUGUGAUUCUUGGGUAAUUGAAUCCAUGCGUUUGAUACAGAGGGUGGAUACCAAGGAACUGGCAUAUAUGGAGGAUUAUAUAUGCAGUUAUAAAUUCUUCUUGGAUUUCCCACUGUGUCGCUGGCCAGCUCCCCUAGCCCGUGCUUUGUUCAAGGGACAACUGUAUUUCCUUUGUCAGUCUUUUGAAAUACACAGUAUUUGUAGAUUUUUACUUUUCUAGGCUUUUGCAGUUUUCUUGUUUAUGGCUAAUUUGAUAACAAUUUCUUUUUUCUUUUUUUCCCUUUUUUUUUUUUUUUUUUUUUUAGGGCCACAUCUGCAGCAUGUGGAAGUUCUCAGGUUAGGGGGCAAAUCUGAGCUGUUGCUGCUGGCCUAACCACAGCCACAGCAACAAGGGAUCCAGGCCGCAUCAGCGACCUACACCACAGCUCACGGCAAUGCAGGAUCUUUAACCCACUGAGAGAGGCCAGGGAAGGAACCCUCGUCCUCAUGGAUACUAGUCGGGUUCAUUACCACUGAGCCACAAUGGGAACUCCCGAUAGCAAUUUCUUUAGUGACUUCGUUUCACAUUCCAUUGGUUGAUAUAGUAAUUAAUUAACAUAAUUACAAGUUCAACUGGUAUGAGGAGGCCUCAGGAAAAUGCAGAUGACUACACAAGCAUGCAACUUGUAGUGGGAGCAGAAGCUCACAAUUAUAUAAAAGGAAAUUCUACUAGUGUUGGUCAUAUACCAUGCUCUGGGCUUGUUUUAAAGAGGGAAUGAGGAGCAUCAAUUAAUCUGGAGAAUUAAGUGGAUGUCAUAAGAGCUCCUGUGUGCCCAUCAUCAAUGAUAGAUACUGCGUAAUAAGAUGUUAAGCUAUUUUACUUGCUGUUUUAGAACACUGGUCUUUGGAGACCGUGAACUGAAUAUGAAAAUGAUGUUCACACUAACAUCUAGAUGCUGUCACCUCGUUAUCCUUCUCAUCUUGUUCUUACAAGCAAAUUCCUCCCUUUAAGAUAUUUUGCUAAUUGGCUUUCUUAUGUUUUCCUCUGUGCCCUAUUCUCUGCUUUGUUUUUGUUCCAAGUAUCCUAGUUCCUACAGUCUGCACAGGGACUGGAGCCCUGUCCCUAAACCCUAAUUCCCAUGGAUGGGCUUGCUGUGGAUUAUGCCUCUGGAUUCAGAUCUAGGUUCUAAGUCUAUUUUGCUUUGUGACCUUGGACUAUACUUAUUAUAUUACUUGGUCUCCAUUUUCUUUUCUGAAAAAGAAAGAACAUUUAGUUUGCAAGUUUGUUAGAAGAUUUAAAUGAUCAUAGGAAGCUCUAGCAGUGUGCUUGGCAUAAGUAGGCUAUGAAAUGCUUGUUUUCUUCCCAUUUCUUUGACUUCACAUUCCCAACUCAGAGCUCUGACCACUUCCAGGAUGGCCUGUUGAAUGCCCUAGAGGACCACCUGCUUGCCAGGAUCUUUGCCCCUUAAGAGCUCAGAAGAUCUGCUUGCUUGUCCAUACUCUCCCCUGCUAACCACUGAAGAGAUUUCCCUGGAGCAUUGAGCUGGUCCCUAGUCCCACUGCUCAGCUUGGGCAACCAUCCAAUUACCAUCACUCCCUCAGCAUCCAUUCUCUCCACCUCUGAAUUUCUCUAUAAGGGUUUUUGUCAUUCAACAUAGAUUAAACAUUUGCUGGCAUAUUAGUCAGGGUUCUCCAGAGAAACAGAACACAGAACACACAUACAGAGAGAGACAGAUUGAUUAUAAAGAAUUGGUUCAUGUGAUCAUGGAGCCUGGGAAGUCACAAGAUCUGUAGGUGGCAAGGUGGAGACCUAAGAGAGCUGAUAGCGUGGUUCCAGCCCCCAAACCAGGAGACUUGAGACUCAAGAAGAGCCAGUGUUUGACUUUGAGCGUGAAGGCAGGAGAAGACUGAAGUCCCAGCUCAAGGCAGUCUGCGGAGAAGUCCCUCAUUCUCCUAGGAGGGUGUCUCUUUGUUCUAUUCAGGUCUUGAAUUGGAUGAGGCCCACCCACUUUGAGGAGGGCAAGUGCUUAACUCGGUUUACCCUUUCCAAUGUUAAUCUCACCUAAAAACACACUCACAGGCACAUCCAGAAUAAUGUUUGACCAAAUAUCUGGGCAUCCUAUGGCCAAGUUGACACAUACAAUUAACCAUCACACUGGGCACUGUGCUGGCCAUUGUUCAUUUUCUGGUCGUUAUUUCUGGCCUUAGAGACGUCACUGCCCUUCUUUGACAGCCUCAUGUUCCCACCUGUGCUCUUGACCUUGUCCUUUUCUGCUCCUGAGAGCCCCCUGCCCCAUACCUCUCUCACACCUUCAGUUUUCCCCCACUUUUUCUCUACCUAAAAACAUGUUCAGGUUUUUCCUUUACUUUAAAAUAAAGGUUCUCUUUGGUCCUUUGAGCUACCAUCCCAUUCUCUUUUUUUAGCACAAAAAAGAGAAGUUUAUAUUCUCUGGCUUCUGUCAUUCACUAAAACCCCUGGUGAUCUAAUUCACCUUAUUUCUUCUGUCUUUAUAUUCUUUAUAAAAGUCAGCAAUGGCUUUCUCAAAUCUAAUAGCUUUUGUUCAGUCUGCUCUUUGAUAUGCCAUUAGUUUUUGAAAAAAUAUAUUCUCCUUUCGGAAAUUCUCUUUUCUCUUUGCUUUGUCAAGUUCCUGGUUAUCCACUUUGUUCUCUGCUAAUUUGGGGGGUUUCUCUUUCUUGUCUUGUCCAAUUAGGUAAUGUCCUCAUUGCAUUUUGAACUUCUUUUAGGCAUUUAUCAAAUUCCACUCCAUGUCUUAGUUAUUUCUGUUGCACAGGUUUAAAAGGGAAGCACCGAGCCCCACCACUUAUUCCUUUUCCCUGCUUUAUUUUUUUUCCAGAUCACUUAUCACUAUCUCACAAAAUAUGGAGUUUACAUAUUUAUUCUCUCUCUCUCUGUCCUUUUCCCCAUAUGGGCAAAGAUUUGGGACUGUAUUUUCAUUAACACAACAUCCAGAGCAGCAACUAAUGUUCAACUAAUUGUUAUUGAAUUAUUACAAGGAUUAAUGUAUAGGGCUGUUCAGUGCAUCAUUUAUAAAACAUCUAGAAAUAUCUAGUAAUAAGAAAAAAUAAAUCAUGAUAUAUAUCCAUGGGAUGGAAUAUUAUGCACUUAUUAAAAGUCAUAUUUUAAAAAUUAUUUAAUGAAAAAUAUUCACAUUAUUUUAGGUG
rnacentral:lncRNA from 1 species